rnacentral:rRNA from 1 species
UACGUAGGGGGCAAGCGUUGUCCGGAUUUAUUGGGCGUAAAGAGCGUGUAGGCGGCCAAACAGGUCAGCUGUGAAAACUCGAGGCUCAACCUCGAGACGUCGGUUGAAACCGUUUGGCUAGAGUCCGGAAGAGGAGAGUGGAAUUCCCGGUGUAGCGGUGAAAUGCGCAGAUAUCGGGAAGAACACCCGUGGCGAAAGCGGCUCACUGGACCAUAACUGACGCUGAUGCACGAAAGCUGGGGGAGCAAACAGG